AUUGAACGCUGGCGGCAGGCUUAACACAUGCAAGUCGAGCGGUAACAGGGGAAAGCUUGCUUUCUCGCUGACGAGCGGCGGACGGGUGAGUAAUGCCUGGGGAUCUGCCUGAUGGAGAGGGAUAACCACUGGAAACGGUGGCUAAUACCCCAUAACGUCGCAAGACCAAAGCGGGGGACCUUCGGGCCUCGCGCCAUCAGAUGAACCCAGGUGGGAUUAGCUAGUAGGUGAGGUAAUGGCUCACCUAGGCGAUGAUCCCUAGCUGGUCUGAGAGGAUGACCAGCCACACUGGGACUGAGACACGGCCCAGACUCCUACGGGAGGCAGCAGUGGGGAAUAUUGCACAAUGGGGGAAACCCUGAUGCAGCCAUGCCGCGUGUGUGAAGAAGGCCUUCGGGUUGUAAAGCACUUUCAGUGGGGAGGAAGGGUGUUGUUUUAAUAGAACAGCGCCUUGACGUUACCCACAGAAGAAGCACCGGCUAACUCCGUGCCAGCAGCCGCCGUAA
rnacentral:rRNA from 1 species